AGCAAAUACACACAAUAAACUGCACUAAAGCACACAAUGUAAUGUGUAGUUAUCCCUACAGUGAUAUGCAAUAUAGCCUGUAUAUUUUUAUUAAGAUUAUAUUGAACAGGUGAAACAAAGGAAAUAAGUGUUUUAUUACAUUAAAGUGUUUGCGGUUUCCUGGGUUUGUUACAUUAUUUUAUGAGAUUGCAGUUAAUUAUUCAGGUUUAUGCAGUCAUUAGUCACGUCCCAUAUUUAGUGGCUGAUCAAAUAGCUUUCGGUCACAUCAGACUUUAAUAGAGCAACGAUAGUCCUGAGCUGAUGUCAUAAAGAGUGUAGUGGUGCUUUCCCCCAUUAAUCACCCUCGGGGGUCUGUUACUUCCCAGUGCUGCCAGUUAGUGAGGAUAUCUGCUAUUGAUAUUUGCAGCUCUCAAUAUAGCAGUGAUGAUGAGUCACUAUGCCAAAGUUAUGGGCAUUGCUAUUUUGGCAUCAUGUUACUGGAAGGCCUUAAAGAGGGUGACCACAACACCUCAUUGUGGUCAUAAAGGGUAGUGUGCUCUUUAGUGUGGGGGCAUUGCCAUCUGUUGGUCAAAGUGUGGAACGGACCCCUUUUGCUGCACUUACAUAAACUAUACUGUAUAUACUCGAUAUAACAGUUGAUUUUAAACCACCCUGAUGAUUUAAUUACUUUUUAAAUGUAUUUUAGUUUAUCUUUAUAUGUAUUUACUAUUGAGUGUCAUUAUCAGUUAAAUAUAACCUUGCCUUACAUAGAACUGUCAUUAUACCUUUGGCAUUUUGGACAGGGUCCAGCCCAUCAGUGACCCUGAACAGGACAAGCAAAAAGGAAAUAUAUGAAUGAAAAAAAUAAAUGAAUUAAUGUAGAUAAGAGAAUGUCCAGAAAUGCAUCGACGUAGACAUCUUGUCCCUCUAGGAUUUUGCUGGCUUUUUUGUGAUCAGUGUGGCCUAAAAUGCUCGAAUUCGCUGCAUCUUUUUAGGAAAGUUGCAGCAAAAGUUGCAAUGCUUAUUUUUUUCCCAAUAACAUUUAUUCAAUUUAUGAUUUUAUGAAUUUGUUAUCAACGUUUUACAUUUUGUAACCUUAGCCUCAAAAAGCAGAGAUUGCAACAACAUUGGAUCAAUAUUUUACUUGUUUUGUACCACGCAGACCUAAAAGUAGACACUAGAUGGCAGCAAAAUCAGAUUCUCAGAACUGUUGGUGUCCAGUGAUUCAAUAACCUCAAUGUGUACACCUCUGGUACCCAUACAGGUAAAAAUAAUGGCUCACCUUUUGCUUUCAGCUGCAUCACCUCUUGUGGGACAAGCAACUACUGUCCAUGGACCAAAUUCAUUCAAUCCCAAAAAAAAAAAAGGAUGAGCCUUUCGGGAGCAAGGCAAUCUGAAAUGAACACACCUGACGCUGAUGAGGAUUCCACUCCCUUCAUAAGCCAGCGCGUCUUGCGUUCCAGUGCCAGAACGUAGCUACCUGUCUCAGUACUCGUCCCCCCAUUUCGAGUUGUGUGUCUCGUCUCUCCGAAUUCCCUCCGGCUCCCUUUCCCAGAUCUCGACCUCUCGCCUGGACACGGACCUUGACGCCUCGCUCCUGCCUUUGACCUUUCGCCUGCCCACGGACCUUCGAGCUUGCCUUGCCCUCCCUGGACUUCCGCAUCUCGCUCAACACGCACCUUCAACAACUCCCGGUAACACUCAGUUAAACACAACACAUAGUCAAACCAUACUUUUUUGGAUUAAUUACACCAGGGGUGCGCAAACUUUUUCUGCAGGCGAGCUACUUUUCAAUUGAUCAAGUCGUGGGGAUCUACCUCAUUCAUAUAUAUAAUUUAUAUUUACUUAUUUAUGAAACAUAUGUUUGUGUUAACAAGUUAAAGGUGUUUAA